AAAGCUCGUAGUUGGAGUUCUGCCAGGUGCCGCCUGUCCGCCCCAGUGGUGAGUACGUGGCGCGCAUUUGGCCCUUUCAAGGGGAGCGUAUUGCACUUAACUGUGUGGUGCGGGAUCCUUGACUUUUACUUUGAGGAAAUAAGAGUGUUCCAAGCAGGCUCUCGUCGUGCAUAGCUCAGCAUGGAAUAAUAGCAUUGGAUCUCGAUUCCAAACUGUUGGUUGGAGGAAACGAGAUAAUGAUGAAGAGGGAUAGUUGGGGGCAUUCGUAUUUAACUGUCAGAGGUGAAAUUCUUGGAUUUGUUAAAGACGAACUACUGCGAAAGCAUCUGCCAUGGAUGUUUUCAUUGAUCAAGAACGAAAGUUAGGGGAUCGAAGACGAUCAGAUACCGUCCUAGUCUUAACUAUAAACCAUGCCGGCUAGAGAUCGGAGGUUGUUCGUUUUGUGACGCCUUCAGCAUCUUGAGAGAAAUCAAAGCCUUUGGGUUCCGGGGGGAGUAUGGUCGCAAGGCUGAAACUUAAAGGAAUUGACGGAAGGGCACCACCAGGAGUGGAGCCUGCGGCUUAAUUUGACUCAACACGGGGAAACUCACCAGGUCCAGA
rnacentral:rRNA from 1 species